ensembl:lncRNA
CUCAAUAGUAAACAUUUAAUGAGUAUCUGCUCUUUGCCAGGGAUAUCUCUGGUUACUUGAGAAUAAAUACAGAUAAAACUCAUCUCUGCCCUCAAGGAACUCAGUUUUACUGCAAUAAACACAUACCACUGCAGUUCAUGAGAGUAUAAGACAAAGGUCUCAGGAGAUGGGAGGUCAGACUUCCCUGGGGGAGAUCCGAGAAGGUCAGAGAGCAGGGCCUACUUCACAGGAGUCAUGAAGUUCUGGCAGAGAGACUGAAGUUUGAGGAGGUUCAAAAAUGCCCCCAAGGGGUUGUAAAUGACAGCUUCAAGACUCAGAAUUGGAAUCCAGGUCUUUCUCCACCUGAUCCAAUGCUCUUUCCUCUUUACCAACAAGAAAACAAAUCUUAAGUGUAAUGGAUGACCAACUCGCACGUGGCAGAUGGUUCCAAGGCACUCCAGUUUGAUCCUCCCAUAUCACCUGUCGGGAUGUUUGGAUUCUGGCAGCCAUGAGGGAAUUGGUCAUUGAACACAAUGGUUGCAAGGUCUGACCAGAAUGUGUGGUAUCUGCCUGUUCUUCUGCCUCCAUUUGUUCUUACGAUCUGCUCCCUGGAAGCUGGCGGACAGCACCUCAGGCUUACCCCAUGCCACGUCACCACAAUGGAAUCUGGCUACAGGUGUUCCCUCCAGGGAGUUCCAAGUGAACCAGAAGCAGAAUGCAUAUAACUUAGAUGGGAUACACAUCACCAUCCCCAAUCUGUCCACCCUGUGCUAUUUUAAGCCUCAGAAUAUGCUGCUGUUCUAUAGGAUCUGAUCAGAGAUCUGACGCUGAGGAAAAUCAUCUACACACAUGGAAAAAAAUAAAAGUGGAUUCCUACUUUGCCUUCAUAUUAAAAAAAGUUUUGACAGGUUUCAGA